rnacentral:rRNA from 1 species
GGGGACUACCCCGCUGAACUUUAAGCAUAUCAAUAAGCGGAGGAAAAGAAACUAACAAGGAUUCCCUUAGUAACGGCGAGUGAAGCGGGAAGAGCUCAAAUUUAAAAUCUGGCAGUCUUCGAUUGUCCGAAUUGUAAUCUAGAGAAGCGUUUUCCGCGCUGGACUGUGUACAAGUUUCCUGGAUACGGAACAUCAUAGAGGGUGAGAAUCCCGUCUUUGACACAGACUGCCAGUGCUUUGUGAUGCGCUCUCGACGAGUCGAGUUGUUUGGGAUUGCAGCUCAAAAUGGGAGGUAAAUUCCUUCUAAAGCUAAAUAUUGGCGAGAGACCGAUAGCGAACAAGUACCGUGAGGGAAAGAUGAAAAGCACUUUGGAAAGAGAGUUAAACAGUACGUGAAAUUGUUAAAAGGGAAACGCUUGAAGUCAGUCAUGUCUGCCUUGGACUCAGCCUAGCCUCGGCUUGGUGCAUUUCCUUGUAGACAGGCCAGCGUCCAUGUUGUUUCCUGGAAAAGGGGUGAAGGAAUGUGGCUCCUCUGGGAAGUGUUAUAGCCUUCAUUCGUAUAGAGGGGACUGUAUGGAGUGGUACAGCACGCAU